GGAUGUGAGAGUGUUCUGGUUUUGACAUUUGUCACUCUAUUUAUCAUCAGGGUUGACUUGACCAAUCUGGUUGGCUAGUUGAGCAUCAGUGCUCCAUGUAUGUCCCUACCAAAGCUGAGUGCUCCACAAAAGAGAACAGCCCUUCUCAAUAAAGGAAGGUAACUUGUUGUUAUACAGGUAGCCAUGCCCCCAUCUACAGCCCACAAACGAGCUCUCAAGAUCCAAUAUUUAAAACUUUCAGCCAGACAUGAUAGUACAGGCUUUUAAUCCCAG
rnacentral:sRNA from 1 species